rnacentral:misc_RNA from 1 species
GCAAACUUGGUCAUUUAGAGGAAGUAAAAGUCGUAACAAGGUCAUCGUAGGUGAACCUGCGGUGGGAUCAUUAGAGGAUUACUGGCUUUUUUGGAGCCAUUCUUGUGUGGGAAGACUAUAUGAUGGUGCGCCUACUUUUACUUUUGUGGGCGCAUAGUUACAACUGUGCUGGAUUGAUCGAGACAGACCACUGGGACUAUCAACUAUAAUGUAUACAACUAUACAUGGUGGAUCACUUGGCUCUCGCAUCGAUGAAGAACGCAGC